GAUGAACGCUGGCGGCAUGCUUAACACAUGCGAGUCGGACGGGAAGUGGUGUUUCCAGUGGCGGGCGGGUGAGUAACGCGUAAGAACCUGCCCUUGGUAGGGGAACAACAACUGGAAACGGUUGCUAAUACCCCGUAGGCUGAGGAGCAAAAGGAGGAAUCCGCCCGAGGAGGGGCUUGCGUCUGAUUAGCUGGUUGGUGAGGUAAUAGCUUACCAAGGCGAUGAUCAGUAGCUGGUCCGAGAGGAUGAUCAGCCACACUGGGACUGAGACACGGCCCAGACUCCUACGGGAGGGAGGAGUGGAGAAUUUUCCGCAAUGGGCGAAAGCCUGACGGAGCAACGCCGCGUGGAGGUAGAAGGCCCACGGGUCGUGAACUUCUUUUCUCGGAGAAGAAACAAUGACGGUAUCUGAGGAAUAAGCAUCGGCUAACUCUGUG
rnacentral:rRNA from 1 species